GGCCUUCGUUGCAGUAUAUGUUAACACACAAGCCAGUGAGGCCAAACUCCCAGCUUUGCAACAGAGGUUUUGCCCACACUGCCCUACAUCAUAGUUGUUGCCUUGCAUACCCUUUUUUAGGGUCCUAGUCAGGGUACAUCUCUCACGGCCACUACGUUCGGUGGCUACUUUCCCUUGAGUCAAGUCAUAGGUAGAGCUUCUCUCUGCCGUUUGGUAACUAGCAGGGCCUCACCUAUCACGGGGCAGAUUAAUU